rnacentral:rRNA from 1 species
CCUACGGGGGGCUGCAGUGAGGAAUAUUGGUCAAUGGACGAGAGUCUGAACCAGCCAAGUAGCGUGAAGGAUGACUGCCCUAUGGGUUGUAAACUUCUUUUAUAUGGGAAUAAAACGUUCCACGUGUGGGAUUUUGUAUGUACCAUAUGAAUAAGGAUCGGCUAACUCCGUGCCAGCAGCCGCGGUAAUACGGAGGAUCCGAGCGUUAGCCGGAUUUAUUGGGUUUAAAGGGAGCGUAGGUGGAGUGUUAAGUCAGUUGUGAAAGUUUGCGGCUCAACCGUAAAAUUGCAGUUGAAACUGGCAGUCUUGAGUACAGUAGAGGUGGGCGGAAUUCGUGGUGUAGCGGUGAAAUGCUUAGAUAUCACGAAGAACUCCGAUUGCGAAGGCAGUUCACUGGACUGCAACUGACACUGAGGCUCGAAAGUGUGGGUAUCAAACAGGAUUAGAGACCCCAGUAGUC